AGGGAAUCUUCCACAAUGGACGCAAGUCUGAUGGAGCAACGCCGCGUGAGUGAAGAAGGUCUUCGGAUCGUAAAGCUCUGUUGUUGGUGAAGAAGGAUAGAGGCAGUAACUGGUCUUUAUUUGACGGUAAUCAACCAGAAAGUCACGGCUAACUACGUGCCAGCAGCCGCGGUAAUACGUAGGUGGCAAGCGUUGUCCGGAUUUAUUGGGCGUAAAGCGAGCGCAGGCGGAAUGAUAAGUCUGAUGUGAAAGCCCACGGCUCAACCGUGGAACUGCAUCGGAAACUGUCAUUCUUGAGUGCAGAAGAGGAGAGUGGAACUCCAUGUGUAGCGGUGGAAUGUGUAGAUAUAUGGAAGAACACCAGUGGCGAAGGCGGCUCUCUGGUCUGCAACUGACGCUGAGGCUCGAAAGCAUGGGUAGCGAACAGGAUUAGAUACCCUGGUAGUCCAUGCCGUAAACGAUGAGCGCUAAGUGUUGGGGACUUUCCGGUUCUCAGUGCCGCAGCAAACGCAUUAAGCGCUCCGCCUGGGGAGUACGACCGCAAGGUUGAA
rnacentral:rRNA from 1 species